GCCAGGUGCGGUGGUGCACGCUUGUAGUCUUAGCUACUUGGGAUGCUGAGGCAGGAGGAUUGCUUGAGCCCAGGAGUUCUGGGCUGUAGUGCGCUAUGCUGAUUGGGUGUCUGUACUAAGUUCGUUAUCAAUAUGGUGAUCUCCCAGGAGGGAGCAGGAGACCACCAGGUUGCCUAAGGAGAGGGUGGGCCAGCCCAGGUUGGAAAUGGAGCAGGUCAAAACUCCCGUGCUAAUCAGUAGUGGGAUUAACAUCUGUGAAUAGCCACUGCACUCCAUAGCAAGACCCAGUCUUU
ensembl:misc_RNA Metazoa_SRP Metazoan signal recognition particle RNA